GGUCGAUGGCAAGUUGAGGGAGGUUAAAUUAGUCCAUUGAGCCCGGGCUCCUGCGGUGAUUCUGAUAUGGAGCCAGGUUUGUGAAUCACCUGACUGGGUAAUAGUGUGUCCGGAAUUGGUGGGUUCUUGGUCUCACUGACUUCAAGAAUGAAGCCACAGACCCUCUCGGUGAGUGUUUAAGUGUUACAGUUCUUAAAGGUGGGGUGUCCGGAAUGUUACUUCUGGUGUUCGGAGUUUCUUUUCUGGUGGGUUCGUGGUCUCCCUGGCUCAGGAGUGAAGCUAUGGACCUUCGUGGUGAGUGUUACAGCUCUUAAGGUGGAGCGUCUGGAGUUGUCUGUCCCUCCCGGUGGGUUCAUGGUCUCACUGGCUUCAGGAGUGAACUGCAGACCUUCGCAGUGAGUGUUACAGCUCAUAAAGGCAGUGUGGACCCAAAAAGUGAGCAGCAGCAAGAUUUAUUGCAAAGAGCAAAAGAACAAAGCUUCCACAGUGUGGAAGGGGACCUGAGCAGGUUGCCACCCCAGUUCAGGCAGCCUGCUUUUAUUCUCUUAUCUGGCCCCACCCACAUCCUGCUGAUUGGUCCAUUUUACAGAGAGCUGAUUGGUCCGUUUUGACAGGGUGCUGAUUGGUGCAUUUACAAUCCCUGAGCUAGACACAAAAGUUCUCCACAUCCCCACUAGAUUAGCUAGAUACAGAAUGCUGACUGGUGUAUUUACAGUCCCUUAGCUAGACAUAAAGGUUCUCCAAGUCCCCACCAGAGUAGCUAGAUACAGUGUCGAUUGGUGCAUUCACAAACCCUG
rnacentral:lncRNA from 1 species